AUGUCUUGCGUGGUUAACAGAAUAGAUUUGACCCUCAGAAGACCCGCAAAAUUCAAGAAGACCCGUGUAUUAAGUGAUAUAUACAGUGACAGUUAUGAAGUGGAUUUCACCAGUUUAAACCCUGUCAAGACUGAGAUGAUUGAUUCUGAAGAAUCUGCCUUAACUUCACCCUCAGAACUCAAGGAUCUCAGAGCUCGGUGUAAACCUAAGAAUAAGAAGGCUCCAAAAGCUAUUUCUGAAGAAUCUGGCACUAAGAAUCAGUCUCAGUGUGGGGAUUUUGGGGAUGAAAGAUCAGAUGAGGAAGUUGAUCUUGAUGAGCCUCUUAUUGCUUUGAAACAGAAGAAGGAAAAGAUACCACCUUGUAAAGCAGAAAGAAAGAUGGAUGCAUCAUCUUCUCCACAUGCUACGAAACCAGUUGAUACAUCACCAAAGGGAGAUGAAGUCAGUCCUGUACAAACUAUCCUAUUUGAGUCAACACUCCAUGACCCAAUGACAGUGAAGGUUGAAACAAGAGCUGUAGAUCAAGAGCACUGCAGAAUUGCUAUUGAACAUAAUGAAGAAAUAGCUGGAGAGGACAUCUGCUCUGCCGAAAUGGAAAAUACAGUAUUUCACACCGGUGACCAUCUAUCUGUUGUGCUGCAUCAGUUUCCCAUAGAAGAUAAUGGAUGUGGACAGCAGCCUGGUUUCAUCACCCAACCGAUUGAACAGGAUGUUUCUGACACCGAAGCACAUUUGCAUGACAAUGUGGAGCAAAAAAAGACGGAUCACAAUUUUUCUUCACUAGAUCCCAUUGAUGAAGUGUGCAACCAUCAGAAAUCAUUGGAUGAUACAAGUAAUUCAGAUGUGAAUAAGUCUUCUGUUGGGAAUGAGUUUCUGUUGUCUUCUGUUAAUCGUUCUUGUGAUGAUCAGACAGAUAACAAUGAAUACAGGUAUCCAGAAGUUGUUCAGGUCAAUACAUCAGAAAGCAUAAAACCUGUGGAAGAGUCUUCUCCAAUUAAUGAGUUUAAAACAUAUGUGAGGCGCACAUUGGUAGUCAUGCAACCUGAUUCAUGUGGAAGCACAGACAAGAUUUGUACUUCACUUGAGGAGGUUGUGCAGAUGCCGGUGGAGGGUCAAUCAGAUUCACUAGUCUGCCAUGAUGUGAAAACACAGGAUAUAUUACUGCAUAUGAAUGUUGAACAAGCAGCCACAGGCUACAAUUUCGCUUAUGACAAAACUCUUGAUUUGGCUCAUACUGCUCAUUUUGACGCUCAAGAUGGGCGGCUAGAAAAUAUAGUUUAUGAUGCUCUGAAAAAUCAUGUGCAGCGGAAUUGUUUUGAAACAAAAACUUCUGUUGUAGUUCCAGAUACUGUUGUGAUUCUGAGCCCACCAACUGUAGCAGAUGUUUCACAUGAUGGUCACAUCUUACUUGCCAACAUGGAUGAGCCAUCAAAGGAUAUGAAUCAGCUAAGUGGUACAAUGAAUGUUGACAUUUGUAGAUCUGUUAAUGAUCAAGAAUCAAGAGAAGCAUUUGUUGUUCAACAAGAGUUAUCCCAGGCUUGUGUUAACAUGGGCAAAACUGGAUGUGCAAUAUCAGAUAGCUCCUCUAAUCUUGAAGAAACACAGGAAAUUUCUGCUGAAGCUUCAAUUUCAACUCCAUCCUGCCUGGGAACUGAUGGGCAAACUAGGGCGUCUGAUUCUUCCAUUGAUGAAGGAUCAAUUGAAGUUCAUACUCCAAAAAAACUGUUGUCCAAGAGAAAGACUAUGUCACCAGCUUGUCAGGAGAAGUUUUGCAAUGCUUGGGCUGAUAUUGAUUUGUGUGGAGUCCAAAGGACGAAGAGAAAGAUUAAUCUUGAAGACCAAUCUAUGGUAACCACAGACAGCAAACUUAAGAGCAAAACUUCUGUCUCCACAAGCAAAGGAGAUGUCAAGUCAACAGAAUCUCCAUCUCCUCAGAUGACAAGUCCAUCUGUUCUUUUGGACACUGAGAAAGCUGUUGAGUUUUCACAAAGGCAGAUGCAUGAUAUAGAGAACAUUGCAGCAAAUCUUAUCAGGAGCUUGAAGCACAUGAGAAGUUUAGUGGACGCAAAUUUGUCAUCGGAAUCACAUUCUUUGCUUCCCAGUUUUAACACUGCCGAGAUGAGAGCAGCAUCCAAGGAUGCAUUAGAUGUCGAGAGAACUACAAGGAAAUGGUUGUCUAUAAUGAACAAGGAUUGCAACCGCUUUUGCAAAAUAUUGACGCUGGAGGGAAAGAAGGCUGUUCCACAUCCACAAGCGCCGAGGAAACGUAGGAAGAUAACGUUCGCGGAUGAAGCUGGAGGAACGCUCUGCUCUGUUAAGGUGUUUACUGAUGGACAGACCUCUCCUUCCGCAUGCCAGGGCGAGUUAUGA
rnacentral:rRNA from 1 species